rnacentral:tRNA from 1 species
GGGGAUAUAACUCAGUGGUAGAGUGCUUGCUUUGCAUGCAAUUAUUUCAAUAUUAUCUUCA